UCCUCCCCUCCCUUCCUCUCUUCCCCUUCCCUGCCUCCCUUCCUCUCCCUUUGCCUACCUGAAGGAUUGGGUCCUAGAGUCUUUCAGGUGGGACAGCCCUGCUUCUUGUGGGUGGGGAUCUGGGUGGCCCUAGUGGGAUGAGGGGGUGCGAUUCCACUGUGGUGUCAGAGGGAAUGGGUGAGGAGGGUGCUUGGAGAGGGUGGUCCAAGGUGGGGGGGGGACCAGGGUGGGGGGCGGAUGGGAGAGGAGAAAUCAGAACGUGGCUUUGAUUUGGCGUCAGGCUUUCUUGGUUUCCUUGGCCUUCAGUUUGAAAUGGCUCCUCAGUCUUCCUUUGUGUUUCAAGACCUUGACACUUGAGAAGCUUGGAGGCGGAUGUCCCCUGGUCGCCAGCUACAGGUUAGGCACUGUUGGCUGAAGAGCCACAGAAGCGACAGCGCCUGCCUCCUCCAGCUGCCUGGCCCCUCGCGUGUCCCAUCGCUGGUGAGUGGUCUUGGAUCACGUGACUAGCGGAACCUCCCCGGCUUCCCCUCCCCACAGUAAAGUUACCCAUUUGUCCUUUGUCAUCAGUAAGCAUUUUGUGGGAAGCGCCUGGAAAUUUUGCAAAGCUCACGUUCUUCAGCAAACUUUGAUCAUUUCUAUCGUUUCCUCCUGCACAUCUGCUAUAGACUGAAUGUUUGUGGCCCCCAGAUUCCCUUGGUGAAACCGCGUCCCCAGGGGAAUGGUAUUUGGAGAUGGGGACUUUGGGAGAACAUGAGGUCACGGAGGCCGAGCCCUGGUGAGUAGGGGUUGGUGUUCUUCUAAAGGGACCCCAGAGAGCUCCUUUGUCCCUGCAGCCAUGUGAGGACAAAGCAAGAAGGAUCCAUCUAUGAACCAGGAAUCAGGUUCACACCAGACACCCGAUAUGCUGGCGCCGUGAUCGUGGACUUCCCAGCCUCCGGAACCACGAGAAAUAAAUUCCUGAUGUUUGUAAGCUGCCGGUGGGUGGGAUUUUUGUUAUAGCAGCCCCGACAGAGUAAGACCACAUCAGUAUGGACCCAUUGACUCAUGGGGCUGUCCAAGGAGCCCCAGUGCCGUGAACGCUUCCUCCUUUCCCG
rnacentral:lncRNA from 1 species